UGGGGAAUAUUGCACAAUGGAGGGAACUCUGAUGCAGCGACGCCGCGUGAGUGAUGAAGGAAUUCGUUUCGUAAAACUCUGUUCUAUGGGAAGAAAAGGACUGUACCAUAGGAGAAAGCUCCGGCUAAAUACGUGCCAGCAGCCGCGGUAAUACGUAUGGAGCGAGCGUUGUCCGGAAUUAUUGGGCGUAAAGGGUGCGCAAGCGGCUUUACAAGUUGGAUGUGAAAUAUUGUGGCUCAACCACAAACGUGCAUCCAAAACUGCAAAGCUUGAGUUAAGGAGAGGUAAGGGGAAUUCCUGGUGUAGCGGGGGAAUGCGUAGAUAUCAGGAGGAAUACCGGUGGCGAAGGCGACUUACUGGACUUAAACUGACGCUCAGGCACGAAAGCGUGGGGAGCAAACAGG
rnacentral:rRNA from 1 species